AUACUCUCACACUCUCUAAUUAGUUUUAGGGAGCGGUGGACUUGGGUGUUGCCUGGUAGUUUACUGUCAGGCUCAUCUCAAAUGCAUUAGUGCAAAGUCCUAGUUAAACAUAACAGCGUGACAAGUAACCCCCUUAUGCUGUUUUCUGUGUAAUUAGGGUGCUCUGUGCUUUUUAUUGUCUUAGGACAAUAUUUAGGA
rnacentral:misc_RNA from 1 species